UCUCUUCAGGACAUAAUAGCAUUGCAAUCAAAUGUUUUUAUCCAUCUGAACAAGACAGAAGAGGAAGUGGGACAUUCUACUUGUCCUGUGUGUUUUCAGACCAAUAGGCAGAGGGCCAGCUGCCUGGCAUGGAGGAUGUUGAAACAAGCUAUGGUGAAUCCACACCCACAGCUGCCAACCGGACCUGAGGAAAUGAACCAUGUCUUGGAAUAUCAACGUGAAGGUCUGAUGACCAGGCAGAGGGGAGUCCAGUACAAAAGUCUUUGAAAUCUUAAUUUUCAUAUUAUGUGACAGAUUCCUGGCUCCAUUCAUAAAGCAUCAAAGUUAAGGCUCAGAUUUUUCUAUUCUAAAAGACAACGGUCCUCUAUACACUAGUUGAAAAAGAAAACCCCAAGAUUGGCUGACUUGAAAUCCUCAGCAAUUUCCUUUUCAGUAUUAUUAUUUUUUUUUCCUGUUACUGCUGACCUUGGGGCAAAACUGCAUCAUGAGUUGACAGAACUCUUUUGCCUCUAAGUGAUUAAGAGAACAAAGCUGGCUUUAGGGAAGUGGGGGUCAUCCUUUUCACAAGGUGUGUCCUGGGCAGACUCACCACCCCAGGGCUAUUGUGGAGUCUUUUCAUCUGUCCCACCCUGAACUUUGAUAGAAUAAAUGCCAUGGCUUUGGAUGAAUUUCUCUGCAGAAGAGUUAUCACAGGACGCACACUGAAUCUAAGUCGGAAUAUGAACACUGAAGAGUGAUUGUAGAGAGUGGCUUGGGGCAGGGUCCUUGGUAUUAACAUAGUUAGAUCUGAGGUUUCCAGAAGACUUCCCAGGGGAUACAGACUGGAUUAUGUAUGAGGACAUGGAGAGGAGGAGAAGAGCCCAGAGUAGCAUCUUCUGCCAUUUUUAUGUCCUUGUUUUAAAAAUAAAUAGAAAUGAUUUUAGAGUAGUUUUAAGGUUUACUGAAAAAUGAGCAGAGAGUCUCCACAUGCCCCUCACCUCUUUAUUAUUUAUAUUUUGCAUUAGCAUGGUGUAUUUAGUGCAAGUCAAUGAACUGACAUUGAAAUGUUAUUAAUCAACAUCCAUAGUUUACAUGAGAGUUUACUUUUUGCAUUGUCCAUUCUACUGUUUUUGACAAAUGUAUGAUGACAAAUAUCCACUACUACAUUAUCACACAGAAUGGAUUCACUGCCCUCAAAGCCCCUGUGCUCCAUAUAGUUAUCCCUUUCUAUCUACCCCAGGCUAUUACUGAUCUUUUCACUCUAUCUAUAGUUUUACCUUUUCGGAAUGUCAUACAGUUGAAGUCAUGCACUAUGUAGUUUUUUUAGACAGGCUUGUUUCAUUCGUGUUCCUUCAUGUCUUUUUGUGGCCUGAUAGCUCAUUUAUCACAGAAUCAUAUUCCAUUGUAUGGAUGUACCUGCUCAUUUAUCCAUUCACCUGCUGGUGGACACCUGGCUGUUUCUAAGUUUGGGCAAUUAUGAAUAAAGGUGCU
rnacentral:lncRNA from 1 species